AGUGAACGCUGGCGGUAGGCCUAACACAUGCAAGUCGAACGGCAGCACAGUAAGAGCUUGUUCUUACGGGUGGCGAGUGGUGGACGGGUGAGGAAUACAUCGGAAUCUACUUUUUCGUGGGGGAUAACGCAGGGACACUUACGCCAAUACUGCAUACGACCUACGGGUGAAAGCAGGGGAUCUUCCGACCUCGCGCGAUCGAAUGAGCCGAUGUCGGAUUAGUUAGUUGGGGGGGUAAAGGCCCACCAAGGCGACGAUCCGUAGCUGGUCUGAGAGGAUGAUCAGCCACACUGGAACUGAGACACGGUCCAGACUCCUACGGGAGGCAGCAGUGGGGAAUAUUGGACAAUGGGCGCAAGCCUGAUCCAGCCAUACCGCGUGGGUGAAGAAGGCCUUCGGGUUGUAAAGCCCUUUUGUUGGGAAAGAAAAGCAGCAGGUUAAUACCCCGCUGUUCUGACGGUACCCAAAGAAUAAGCACCGGCUAACUUCGUG
rnacentral:rRNA from 1 species